AUUGAACGCUGGCGGCAGGCUUAACACAUGCAAGUCGAGCGAGCGGCGGACGGGUGAGUAAUGUCUGGGAAACUGACUGAUGGAGGGGGAUACCUACUGGAAACGGUAGCUAAUACCGCAUACCAUCGGAUGUGCCCAGAUGGGAUUAGCUAGUAGGUGGGGUAAUGGCUAACAUAGGCGACACUCCCUAGCUGGUCUGAGAGGAUGACCAGCAACACUGGAACUGAGACACGGUCCAAACUCCUACGGUAGGCAGCAGUGGGGAAUAUUGCACAAUGGGCGCAAGCCUGAUGCAGCCAUGCCGCGUGUGUGAAGAAGGCCUUCGGGUUGUAAAGCACUGUCAGCGGGGAGGCGUUACUCGCAGAAGAAGCACCGGCUAACUCCGUGCCAGCAGCCGCGGUAAUAC
rnacentral:rRNA from 1 species